rnacentral:snoRNA from 1 species
AGUCUCAUUCUAGGUGAAAAGGUACACUGUUGAUCAUGGUGUCAGAAAACUGUUAAAGUGGCUAAAUUGAGACACAGGUAAUGAUCCCAUCACAGAUGUGCAUUGCAGUGGUGACAAUGAAAUCUGUAAUUUUU